rnacentral:rRNA from 1 species
CCCCAAAUACAUGCAAGUCGAACGCACUCUCGUUUAGAUUGAAGGAGCUUGCUCCUGAUUGAUAAACAUUUGAGUGAGUGGCGGACGGGUGAGUAACACGUGGGUAACCUGCCCUAAAGUGGGGGAUAACAUUUGGAAACAGAUGCUAAUACCGCAUAAAACCUAACACCGCAUGGUGUAGGGUUGAAAGAUGGUUUCGGCUAUCACUUUAGGAUGGACCCGCGGUGCAUUAGUUAGUUGGUGAGGUAAAGGCUCACCAAGACCGUGAUGCAUAGCCGACCUGAGAGGGUAAUCGGCCACACUGGGACUGAGACACGGCCCAGACUCCUACGGGAGGCAGCAGUAGGGAAUCUUCCACAAUGGACGAAAGUCUGAUGGAGCAACGCCGCGUGAGUGAAGAAGGUUUUCGGAUCGUAAAACUCUGUUGUUGGAGAAGAAUGUAUCUGAUAGUAACUGAUCAGGUAGUGACGGUAUCCAACCAGAAAGCCACGGCUAACUACGUGCCAGCAGCCGCGGUAAUACGUAGGUGGCAAGCGUUGUCCGGAUUUAUUGGGCGUAAAGCGAGCGCAGGCGGUUUCUUAAGUCUGAUGUGAAAGCCUUCGGCUCAACCGAAGAAGUGCAUCGGAAACUGGGAAACUUGAGUGCAGAAGAGGACAGUGGAACUCCAUGUGUAGCGGUGAAAUGCGUAGAUAUAUGGAAGAACACCAGUGGCGAAGGCGGCUGUCUGGUCUGUAACUGACGCUGAGGCUCGAAAGCAUGGGUAGCAAACAGGAUUAGAUACCCUGGUAGUCCAUGCCGUAGACGAUGAGUGCUAGGUGUUGGAAGGGUUUCCCCCCUUCAGUGCCGCAGCUAACGCAUUAAGCACUCCGCCUGGGGGAGUACGACCGCAAGGUUGAAACUCAAAGGAAUUGACGGGGGCCCGCACAAGCGGUGGAGCAUGUGGUUUAAUUCGAAGCAACGCGAAGAACCUUACCAGGUCUUGACAUCCUUUGACCACUCUAGAGAUAGAGCUUUCCCUUCGGGGACAAAGUGACACGUGGUGCAAGGUUGUCUUCAGCUCCUGUCCUGAGAAUGUUGGGGUUAAGUCCCGCCACCAACCGCCACCCCUCAUUACUAAUUGUCAGCAAUUU